rnacentral:rRNA from 1 species
GGUAAUGCCGGGGCAGAUGCGGCGGGUAAACGGAAGAUCCAAGCGUUAUCCGGAAUUACUGGGCGUAAAGAGUUGCGUAGGUGGCAUAGUAAGCAGAUAGUGAAAUUGUGUGGCUCAACCAUACACCCAUUAUCUGAACUGCUAAGCUAGAGUAUAUGAGAGGUAGCUGGAAUUCCUAGUGUAGGAGUGAAAUCCGUAGAUAUUAGGAGGAACACCGAUGGCGUAGGCAGGCUACUGGCAUAUUACUGACACUAAGGCACGAAAGCGUGGGGAGCGAACGGGAUUAGAUACCCGAGUAGC